rnacentral:rRNA from 1 species
AAUUAUUUUAACGGCCGCGGUAUUCUAACCGUGCGAAGGUAGCGUAAUCACUUGUCUUCUAAAUAAAGACCUGUAUGAACGGCUAAAUGAGGAUAGACCUGUCUCCUAUAAUUAAUCAGUGAAACUGAUCCCCCAGUACAAAAGCUGGGAUACCACCAUUAGACGAGAAGACCCUGUGGAGCUUUAAACCCACUAUUAAAAAGCUAAGUUGCACCUAGUAUGCGGUUUUAAGUUGGGGCGACUUCGGAACAAAACAAAACUUCCAAGCACAGAACCAUAAACUCUAACAACGGCCAACAAGCCAAAGUUUAAAAUAUCAGACCCAGUAUUACUGACCAACGAACCAAGUUACCCCAGGGAUAACAGCGCCAUCUUCUUCAAGAGUCCAUAUCGACAAGAAGGUUUACGACCUCGAUGUUGGAUCAGGACACCCAAAUGGUGCAGCCGCUAUUAAAGGUUCGUUUGUUCAACGAUUAACAGUCCUACGUGAUCUGAGUUCAGACCGG